CACCGUGUCCGGGGCUUCCGGGAAUUCCGGGGGCCUGGUGCAAGUGGGA
rnacentral:sRNA from 22 species